rnacentral:rRNA from 1 species
CGUAGGUGGCAAGCGUUAUCCGGAUUUACUGGGUGCAAAGGGCGUGUAGGCGGGAGAGCAAGUCAGACGUGAAAUUCCAGGGCUCAACCCUGGAACUGCGUUUGAAACUGUUCUUCUUGAGUGAUGGAGAGGCAGGCGGAAUUCCGUGUGUAGCGGUGAAAUGCGUAGAUAUACGGAGGAACACCAGUGGCGAAGGCGGCCUGCUGGACAUUAACUGACGCUGAGGCGCGAAAGCGUGGGGAGCAAA